UAGAUUUAACAGAAAGAAAAGCUCCUGCAUGGUAGAAUAUAUUCUCCUGAAGCAGUGAUCUCUUCUCAAUGACAUUUACUGUGCACAAAUUAAAAAUGAUCAGUGGCAUUUCAUUUUUAGUCCUCUUUAUUGUGUGAGCUCUGGGGUAGAACUGAAUAAAAAAAAAUAAUAAAGUGAAGUCUACGCAACAGAAAGCCUACUUUUUUAGCUUUUUUCCAGUACAGCUGUGCCACAGACCUACCUGACACUAGGCUUGGUGGACAAGUGCAUUACAGAAAAUGAGCUGUAGAUCAGCAAAUGUACAUAUUUACUUAUGCCAUUAUAUUUGAGUAUUUUUUUAAGGCUUUUGCAGUCUAGAAAACUCAUAAGCCCCUUCCCUCCUCAGGAAGAACUCAUUCCAAAAGACCUCUUCGAUGAGUGAUGGCUGGGGCAGUCCAACUGCUUGCACAUCAACAAUGUCAUCAUCUAGUUUCUGCAUUGAUAGAGUUCUACAUGGUUGCUGCUGUGCAUCCCAGGAUAUAAGCAAGUUACUGCAAAGACAACAGAGGAAUAGAGCUACCAGACCUUUCUACAGAAUUGCUACUUCAACAAGAGUGCUUCAUUUGGACUGCUACCACCACACUAACUAGUGGGGUGUCAGGCUGCCUCUGCAUCCUUCAGUCUCUACCAGCCAGGAGGGCCAAGCAUCACAACUAAAAGGAACUACACAUGAGGAUUUAUGUGACUGGACAUUGUGAAAAGGUAAUGGAAAAACUGCACCUGCAAAACAGUAUCUGGACUUAAUGACACACCCUUCUCUCAUUGACAAUCCUUAUUCCUCCUCUUUGCACUUUAUUUUAACUUCAUUCAGUAUCUCCGGCGAGAACCUAAUUCCACCCAGGUGAUGAUUGUCACGUUCCCGCAUACUCUUUUGGUUCAAGGAGGGGGGCAUGUAGAAGCAGCACAAAACACCAGCUGUAAAUCAGACCUGAAUUCUCUUUCCUUUUUCUGAAGAGCAGCACUAGUAAUCAUGAAGAAAAUCACUCACCACUUGGGGUAACAAUGGCAGGAUGAGACUCAUGGCCCUGGCUUCAAUUCACAUUUGUGAAAACAGACUUGAACACUAUAACAGUAUCAUCAAAAACACCCAUGAGGGUUUAAACAGCACACCAUAAAUAUUAGCUAGUGUUGCUGCCACAAGCAUUGAACUGGGAUGAUAAAACAGUUUUAAGCAACUCCUCAUUAAAUUAGGCUUGUUUGGUCUUUGGUCUGAAUAUGCGACAGAGUCUAUGGAAAAAGGACUGGGCAGCAGUGUGAACUGAAACCUAUGUAACAUAUGAAGACCCACAGAGGAGGCAGUAAAUUUUUAAUUCUGGCAUUUCCAUCUUUGAGCAGCUGACUUUGCAGCAUCCAUUUAGCUGUUUAUGUGUGCGUGUAGCAGACAUAUAAAUCAAAACUGAAACACUGCAUUAAAACAGUUAUUAGUUCUACAGAGCUUGAAAUCUCAUGCUGUAGCCACAUUUUACUACUCAGAGUAAUUUCAAGAUCUGUUGCACAUCUGUGCCUUCUCCUGUCUCCUUGGGAGAGGUAACUCUGGGAAGUCAGUCACUGUACCUUCUAUACCUCUCUGCAUAGAUCCAAUGUCAGCAAGGACCUUGGCAAAUGUCCUCUGAAGAAUUUUGCUGAAUUGGCUAAAGACACUCCUGUGCCUGUCUGAGUGCCCUGCCCUGCCCUUCUUCUGUUACUUGCCUUUUUCCAAUCAAUGGUGAGCAUUGAGCACUUCACCUUCAGGGGUGAUUUUCUUGAAAAUUUGGCCUAUGCCUUGGGACAGUUUAGACACAGUCACAUGUUGCUCCUUUGUCUUCCACAGGAUCAAAAACACAAGAGGGUAGGAAAGACAGAGGAGACCAGUAACAUCUGAAAGUGCCCCUGUGAAAUUUCCCAGAGUCUGUCUGCUCAAAAGCCCCUCAGCUGUGUUUGCAAAGCACAGAUCAAGGGCCACAGUCUUCUCUAGUGAAAGCCACUACCUAGUGUCAUAGAAACUCAUGGUGCUACACAGGCUGACAUAAAUUAAACAGCUAUACCUAUUUAUAGUUCACAGCCUGAUAAAUAUUUAGCCAUCAGAAGGCAAAGCUCCUACAUUCUACAUUGACUAAAUACAUGUCAAGCCAGUCCACAGCUUCCUCUCUCCAGAGCUGCAGGUCCAUCCCAUUCCCACCUGCCUCAAAUCACCCCAAAGAGAGCACCCACAACCUUCCCCAAAAUGACUUACAGUCACACAGGUAGUAAGAACACAACAUUAAGGAAUUCUGUUCUUGUCUAAUUAAGAUGAUGCAAUCAACUGUUCCACAAACACUCAGGGAUCUUCUUAAUAACUCUAUUUUUAUCAGCUUGAGUGCCACACACAGCAGUGCAAGGUAAUCAUCAGGGCUGAUAUCUGAAUUCAGGCAAGUUUUACCUUACUGUGUUUUCCCUCCUGAGCAUUUGCUCUCUGGUAACACACUCCCUCUGCCAUUACUGUGCUGGCUUCCAUUUGCAUGCAAUAUAAGGUAAUUUUCUUUAAAUUACUUUAAAGCACUGAUGAUUCUGCUUCCAAAAAUGCACUCUUAAUAACCAGCUUCUAGGCACAAUUUUAGGAUACAGGAAACUAAGGUGAAAUAAACUUGAAUUGCUUUUAAGUAAAAAAAUUUGGCCAAGGCUUUAAAGAACUAUCUUUUUGUGGGAAGAUUAAUCUUGUCUAUUUGUUUGCCUCCAUUUCCUGAUUCAGAAAUGGCUUUUAAGUUCCCACAGAUAUUUAGAAUAAAAUAAUUCAUCCACAGAAUUAAACAACUUCUGCUGCCAACACCUGUUACUUGUUGCCUCCAUUUUUCUGUGGAGUAUUAUUAGCAAUAUUUUAGCAGUUCUUGCAAAGCCUUAUUGUGCUUCAUAUUGUCUAGUGUUUAGAAGACUGUUCAUACCCUUAUAUACCCAGGUGGCUGGUAUUUCCUCCCUCUUAGCUCACUUCUGUGAGCUCUGCUGUAGUAACACACACAGUCAGAGGGCAGGUUGCUCUCAGAGACACAUCAUGUUCCCACAAGGUGCUGUUCCACUUACAGAAGAGCUGCAGUUCGGUGGCAAAAUCCACAAAAUGCUGUAAAAAGCAACAGGACCCCUUCAUUUGUGAUACACAGGAAUUCAGCACAGGUGCCCAGGAAUCUCUUUUGGCUUGGAUGAAGCCUACUACUUCAUGCAGAAGUCUUCACCAUGAGGUUGUGCAAGCAUCACUUGUUUUAUCACAUGACAGAGACUCCUGCACGUGCAGGGAAUUGCUGUUUGAAAGUCCACUUGUCUUGGUAAGUGAAUGUAACACCAGCUGUAAGAUCCUUACACUGCACUAAAUUGAGGACUGACAAAACUCCUUGUCUGUACAGAAGCUUUAAUAAUUUCAAGUGGAUUUGGGGAAAGACCCUGGGGCACAAAUCAAUGCAGGGGGGAAGGUCCACUUAGGAUUGCAUUCAUUUGACCAGUGCCACUGCAUGGGAUUUGGUUUCAGGGUUAAAUUCCUUGGCUAAAUAAGGUAUUUGAAAUGAGAGAGGAAAAGCAUUUCAUACCUACCAAGUAGUAAGUUGUCCCUGUGGCACCAGGCUUUUUAAAUAGUUGUCAGGAUGAUACCACACUGCCUGGUGUAGCUCUUGGAAAAGUGCUAGUAUGAGGUGAAGAUUUUUCAGCCAUAGGUUUUGGCUGUGUUGGGAAAAAAACACCUUUAAAACAAUAAUUUAAUUUUACUGUUUGUGAUUCUGCUUGUGAAGAAAAAGGACAGGAAAAUCAGAUAUCAGGACAGAAGAGACAUCUCCAGUGUACAAAAUACUCAGACUAUGAGGUCACUAAUGUCUCAAAUGCUACUAGUCUCUGGGGGUGGCAAGAGAAAGCAAUGUUUAGGAGCCAGAUGCAGCCAUUUGUCUCCAAGGAGCAGCUGGUGAUGAGAUGCUCUUAUUAAUGAAAUGGGAUUGUUCAGUGCUGUCGAUUUACUGCAGUUAGUGUAGCAAAUUCUGAUUCAUGCUACCAUUAUGGAUACCAAGCCUAGGAGGCAGCAGGCUUUGUUGAUUUUAUUGUUAAUAUUUGAGGAACCUGUGACUCAAAAAAUCUGUAAAAAGCAGUAGAUAUAGAGUGCUUAUGUGGACUGUUUUAUGGUUGAAUUGCCAGGUGACCGACAGAUCCCAGAGCUCAGUUUCCUAGACCAGUGAUUCUUAGUCAUCUGGCAGUUGAUGAGUAGGAAAUUAUAUUAACUAUGUUAUUAACUAUGUUGGGAAAAAGUAUAAACCAGUGUCGUUUGUAGGAUUGAUAACAUACUGCAAGCAUGGAAGUGAGCAUGCAAAUUAAAUAGUGUCAAAUCACUCUGAGACUGAUUGUGUUAAACCUGCAUCAAACAGCUGGGGCUGAGCUCAGGAGCUGAUGAGGACAUGGGCUCACCAUGUAUGCACAACAAGCCUUUUUUUGUUAAUAUUGAUGGCUUGAGGUCAGGACACCUGAUCUCCUGUGACAAAUGACAGUAGGAUGACUCUCCAUAGAGCAAGAGGUGUGUCCUAACAGCAGCCCAGGUCCUUUGUCCCCACGACUUUUUAAUGCAUCACACAUAAAUGAUCUGACAUGUACUGCACCCAGCUUUGGUAUUUCUGCAUUUUCUACUGCAUUUUCUGUAAAAUUUCAUUGAGCCAUCUAAUAUAAAAACAUGCCUAGCUAAGCAAUUCUGAUGUUGAGCUAUAAAGUUAAUCUUUCUCAGAAAACAGUCCAUUCCACGUACUGUAUCUAACAAUUUUUCAUGAGGGAUUUGUGAAGCAGGCAGCCCUCUGAUAAGGCCACACUUAGUGACUGUUCUAAGGCAUCACCUUAGUAUCUUAGUACCAGGUUUAGGUGGCCAUCUCAUAGAGGUUCACUCCUCCAGGGCCAAGUGGGAGUACUGCCCAAUUUCUGGCUGAGCCAUUGGGCAUUUAGCCAUAAGGUCACUUAGCACAGUUCCUGUAGGAGAGGUAUUUGGAGCAAGACCUUUGCCUUGGGUUUGAUGAAUGUAUUAGAUUGGUGACAAGGGACCCAACAGUUUCAACUAAUGUGAUGCUCAAGGAACCUGAGGACUGGUUUCAGAACAUCCUGCCAAUGGUCUGUAUCUACUAUCUAUUGUAGUGAUAUUUUUCCAAAGGAAGUGGAUUGCAAUUUCAAAUUCACAAUGCAGUUUCACAUUGACUACAAAGGAAUUGCCUGAAUAAACAGACCGUUUUGCCACCAUCUUUUGCUGGAUCCAGACUGCCGACUACCUCCAUGCCCUGUUGUCAUUCAUACCCCUAGCUAUCCCCUAGCCUCAGCUUGCUUUUCACAGAAUCAAAGAACAGAAGAGAAAAAGAUACCAUGGGAAAGCUUGUGCCAUGAAGCAAAGAUGGACCCUGGGUUGCAUCCAAAGCAGUGUGGCCAGCAGGUCAAAGGAAGUGAUUCUCCUCCUCUACUCCACUCCACUCUCAUGACACCUCCCAUGGAGUGCAGAAUCCAGCUCUGGAACCUCCCAGCACAGGAAUGAUGUGAACUUGCUGGAGCCAGUCCAGAGGAGAGAAAAAAAAAAUCAUAAGGGGACUGCAGCACCUCUUCUAUGAAGUAAGACCAACAAAGUUGCAAUUGUUCAGCCUGGAAAAGAGAAGGCUCCAGGGAGACCUCAUUGUGGUCUUUCAGUACCUGAAAGGGGCACACAAAAAUCUGGGGAGGGACUUUUUACAAGGCAUGUAGUGAUAAAACAAGAGGGAAUAGCCUUAAGCUGAAAGAGUGAUGAUUUAGAUUAGAUAUCAGGAAGAAGUUCUUACUGAGAAGAUGGUGAGGCACUGGCACAGGUUCCCCAGAGAAGCUCUGGGUGCCCCAUCCCUGGAGGUCUUCAAGGCCAGACCAGGCUUGGAGCAACCUGGUCCAGUGGACCUGGUCCAGUGGACCUGGAGCUGAAUGAUCUUUAAGAUGCCUUCCAACUCAAACCAAAAUUAUGGAAGAGCUGAUUUCUGGCGUACACAGAGAAUCACAGCCCUUACAUUAAAACACUCCUGGGGGCUGCUCUGAUUUCUGCUGGAAGCCACACUUAGAACUGAGGUGGACAAGAACACAGACAUCACAUGGGAGCAGCUGGAGGCAAAAGCAAGCUCCUACAGGAACAGCCUGGUUUUUUUGUGUCAGAUAAUGGUUAUAGAGAACCUCUGAAGUGGUGUGGCAAUAUUACCUAGCUUGUGUCUACCAAAAUGUGUCCCUGGAUUACAUGUCUUUCUUAGAUCCCUGGCAAAUCCUUUUAAAUUCUGCCCUAUGAACAGGCUGCAGCAUAGCAUGACAUGAUAUAGAACUGGAACCAAACAUGUAAGAAACACUAUGGUUAGGAUUCACAGGUAAAUUAUUAGUAGAAGACAGAGAUUUUCACCUAUUUUAUGUAAAAACACUUCUGUUCUAAGGUUUCCAUACUCACUUAAGAGUUUUAGAUUCAGGAACUAUCUUCCUUUUCUCUGGAAGUCAGUAAUUUUCUUAAUGCACUAUCCUUAUUCUGUAGCCAGUUCUGAAGCUGUGUCUGCAUCAACUGAAAUCACGGAAAUGCCACUGGGAGCAAGAUUAGGCCAAAUUAUGGAAAAUUAGGAGAUAAAACGUCUUGGGACACUGGAAAUAUGUAGGUUCCCUAAACCAUCACUUCAGUGAGGAAGAAAGGUCAACAGGAAGAAAUUAGAGGAAAUAGUGUCCUGUACUCUUUUCACAGAACACAGACCUGCUUCAUUUAGGGGGAUAAAGCAGUCUGUAGUGUAUUUUUUUCACUCAUAUCACAACUAUUUGACAGCCUAAGGCAAAACCAGUACAAGAUCUUACCUGGUUCUUUUACUCCUUUUUUCUAAGUCCUGAGCUGCUAAUUCUGUUUGCAUUUCCUGUAUCAUGCAAUCUCUUUCUGCAAUUUAGUACAAAAAAAUGUUUUGAAUUUUUUCAUUCCUUAAUUUGUGUAACAGACAUUCACAAAAACUGCAAGUAUCCAGCUUUUACCCAAUUAGCUUUUAGCUAAUGCCUUUUUAUUUAAAAUUCUAUUUCAUCAACUAGUGGCCAUUAUGAGAAAGAAAGCAACAGUACAGAAUGUCAGCUCAAUUUUUGAGGAGUCAAAUUUGCUGACACAGAGGAUUAGUCUGUAAGUGACCAAUAACCAUACUUCACAUAAUGUCUCUAAAGUGUAGGGCCUUUAUGAAUCAUUAGUGGGCUGUACUAAAGUAUACAGAUUAAAAAUUGAUCCAAAUCUGCUUUUCAAAUACAUAAGACUACAUAGAAAUUGAAAAAAUUAUAUCUACUAUCCAUAUGAAGACCCUAUAUAAAGACUGUUGCUUAGUGAUUAUUUCCUAGCACUCAAACCAUGAUUUAUCCCAUAAUUUUCUUGGGAAGUAGACCCUUCUUGGGAAAUAGCUCCCUUUAUCCCAUCAGAUAAAGCUGUCUUUACAAAAGCAGCAUGUAGGAGAACAUGGGGUGGAGACAACUACAGCUGAAAAGAGUUCAGUGCUGUCUUGUGUUUCCAGUAUGGAUAACGUGGUGUGGGGUUGGUGAGAGGACCUGCAGCAGGUAAUAUGUUCUGAGCAGUGUAUAAGGAUGAGGAUUUUUCCUGACUCUUUUUAAAAGUUUUUUUUAAAUUACCUUUCCAAUUCUGUGCAAUUGAACAGAUAAUCAAACACUAACUUCAAUGUAAAUUUGUCAAUGGAACUAGAGUUGUUACCUGGCAGAAUGAAGAUGAAUGCUCUUAGUGUGGCUUAAAGCUGCUGUCUUUUAUGGGUGGGGUGAGGAUACUGCUACAAAAUUAAUUACAAGCUAGAUCAAGAAGAUCUAGCAUCUAGAUCUAGAUCCCACUUACUGCAGGGAUUGCCAUUUUAUGUAAAUUUGUACAAAGCUCGAAAUGGCAGGCUCACACAGCUCAUCUCUACACACUACUGUGACAUAAAGCAGCCUUGUUCUCAUCAUACUGAAGGAGUUGUUCUCUCUUCUAGGUGAGGAAAUGUACAUAUGCAAGCAAUAAGAGUAAUUGUGUGAUUUGUUUCUAACUGUACUGUCUCUGUAACUACACAUGCAAAUUAGGUAUUGCCCUUGAAGACCUGGAGAGCAGCCAGUGUGCUGUGCUUCUUUGAUGUAAACAGUUAUGCAUAAACAGCAUUUCUUUUUACCGGGUCUGUGCUACUCCAGCUUCCAAGUGUUCAGACCAAGAUUUUUCUUCCGCAGUUCCUUAUCUGAGCUUUUCUGCAGUUUCCUGAGUACCCUCUAAACAACCCUUACCUUUGCAGCUCCAAGGAGAUAUUUCCUCUAAGAUCUUAGAGGAAUUCCAUCCACGUACACCCAUGGCCAUGCCAGCAACAGAUGUUGCAUCUCUGCAUUUCCAAGGUGCCAUUGAAGCACUCAUCAUUUUAUCACACUCUGAACCAUGCCUAAUCAGAAGUGCAAAAUUUCCUCCUGCCGUGGGGUAGGUGUUAGUAUGUGUGUGAAUGUGUCUGCAUGCAUGUCUGUGUAUGUGUCUAGAAUAUCUGCUCUGUCACCUGUACAUGUAGGUACAUCUAAAGCCAGUCACCUGAGUCACCAAGUUUCAGCCCAAAGUGGUCCAUGCAGAAGUCUUCACUUUAAUCAAGCUUUAAGAAAACAAGAAAAACAAAUCUGUGACAUUUGUAGAUACAUGUGUGAAGAGAAAGAAAGGAUCCUCUCCUCCUCAUAGGAAGGCUCAAGUUGAAAGCUUAAAACAGAAAUAAUAUUUACACAUGUCUAAGGAGUAUUUAUUUUGUGGUUUUCAGCAGAUGUGAAAAUAUGUAGUGUAAUUCUGAAAAGAGUAAUUUGGAAAACAUUUUGUAUGGUAGGAUCCUUGGUAUUUACUAAAAAAACUGUAUUCUUUUAAAACUGUAAAGAAUUUACAUAACUGAUGAGUAAUCGUAGACUUGUUGCAGAAUAUAAAGCAUGCUGAAAGAAUAAACAAUGUUCAAAGAAAUGGGAUUUGGCAUCUCAGUCAGUAUUAUUUCUGUAUGGACUAGACUUUGUAAAGGGUCAAAUUGGACAGUCUGGAG